GAUGAACGCUGGCGGCGUGCCUAACACAUGCAAGUCGAACGGAGUAUUUAUUAUGAAGUCUUCGGAUGGAUUAAUAAAUGCUCAGUGGCGGACGGGUGAGUAACGCGUGGGUAACCUGCCUCAUACAGGGGGAUAACAGCUGGAAACGGCUGCUAAAACCGCAUAAGCAUACGCUGUCGCAUGACAGAGUGUGAAAAUAUUUA
rnacentral:rRNA from 1 species